AAGACCUUGCGCUUUUGGAGCGGCCGAUGCCUGAUUAGCUUGUUGGUAAGGUAAAAGCUUACCAAGGCUUCGGUCAGUAGCUGGUCUGAGAGGACGGCCAGCCACACUGGGACUGAGACACGGCCCAGACUCCUACGGGAGGCAGCAGUGGGGAAUUUUGGACAAUGGGGGCAACCCUGAUCCAGCCAUGCCGCGUGAGUGAAGAAGGCCUUCGGGUUGUAAAGCUCUUUCAGCCGGAACGAAACGGUUACGGCUAAUACCCGUGAUUACUGACGGUACCGGAAGAAGAAGCACCGGCUAACUACGUGCCAGCAGCCGCGGUAAUACGUAGGGUGCGAGCGUUAAUCGGAAUUACUGGGCGUAAAGCGUGCGCAGGUGGUUUUGUAAGUCAGAUGUGAAAGCCCCGGGCUCAACCUGGGAACU
rnacentral:rRNA from 1 species